GAUGAACGCUGGCGGCGUGCCUAAUACAUGCAAGUCGAGCGAACAGACGAGGAGCUUGCUCCUCUGACGUUAGCGGCGGACGGGUGGGUAACACGUGGAUAACCUACCUAUAAGACUGGGAUAACUUCGGGAAACCGGAGCUAAUACCGGAUAAUAUAUUGAACCGCAUGGUUCAAUAGUGAAAGACGGUUUUGCUGUCACUUAUAGAUGGAUCUGCGCCGCAUUAGCUAGUUGGUAAGGUAACGGCUUACCAAGGCGACGAUGCGUAGCCGACCUGAGAGGGUGAUCGGCCACACUGAAACUGAGGCACGGUCCAGACUCCUACGGGAGGCAGCAGUAGGGAAUCUUCCGCAAUGGGCGAAAGCCUGACGGAGCAACGCCGCGUGAGUGAUGAAGGUCUUCGGAUCGUAAAACUCUGUUAUUAGGGAAGAACAAAUGUGUAAGUAACUAUGCACGUCUUGACGGUACCUAAUCAGAAAGCCACGGCUAACUACGUG
rnacentral:rRNA from 1 species